rnacentral:rRNA from 1 species
UGUUUGAUGUUCUAACGUGGACCCGUGAUCCGGGUUGCGGACAGUGUCUGGUGGGUAGUUUGACUGGGGCGGUCUCCUCCUAAAGAGUAACGGAGGAGCACGAAGGUUGGCUAAUCCUGGUCGGACAUCAGGAGGUUAGUGCAAUGGCAUAAGCCAGCUUGACUGCGAGCGUGACGGCGCGAGCAGGUGCGAAAGCAGGUCAUAGUGAUCCGGUGGUUCUGAAUGGAAGGGCCAUCGCUCAACGGAUAAAAGGUACUCCGGGGAUAACAGGCUGAUACCGCCCAAGAGUUCAUAUCGACGGCGGUGUUUGGCACCUCGAUGUCGGCUCAUCACAUCCUGGGGCUGAAGUAGGUCCCAAGGGUAUGGCUGUUCGCCAUUUAAAGUGGUACGCGAGCUGGGUUUAGAACGUCGUGAGACAGUUCGGUCCCUAUCUGCCGUGGGCGCUGGAGAACUGAGGGGGGCU